AAUAGAUGUUCAAGCAAUAUGAUUUCUACCCAAUGCUCGGAAUGUCAAGGUGAAGAAAUUCAACCAAGCACGGGUAAACUGCGGGAGUAAUUAUGUCUCUCAUUGGAAUGACUACAAUCUAAAUCCCUUAAUGACGAUCGAUUGGAGGAGAAUUAUAUUGCCAGCAGUCGUGGUAAUUCAAGAUCCAAUAUCAUAUAUUUAAGUGGUUGAAGUUAAAAAGCCCGUACUUGGACUUUAGGAUGGGCCGGCCAGUCCGCCUAUGAUGUGCACCGGUCAUCUCGUCCCUUCUACCGGCGAUGCGCUCCUUGACUUAAAUGGCUGGGUUGUGCCUCCAACGUUGUUACUUUGAAGAAAUCAUAGUUCUCAAAGAAAGCCUACGCUCUAUUUACAUUAGCAUAAAAUAACACUACAGGAUUUUAGUUCUAUUACGUUUGCCUUCGAGAUCAAAGUAAUGAUUAAUAGGGACACUCGGGGGCAUUCAUAUUUCAUAGUCAGAGGUGAAAUUCUUGGAUUUAUGAAAUAUGAACAACUGCAAAAGCAUUUGCCAAGGAUGUUUUCAUUAAUCGAGAAUGAAAGUUGGGGGCUCGGAGAUGAUCAGAUAUCGUCCUAAUCUCAACCAUAAAUGAUGCCCACCAGGGAUCGAUGGAUGUUGCUUUUAGGACUCCACCGGCACCUUAUGAGAAAUCAAAGUUUUUGGGUUCUGGGGAGAGUGAGGUCACAAGGCUAAAAGUUAAGAGAAUUGACAGAAGGGCACCACCAGGAGUGGAGCCUGGGGCUUAAUUUAACUCAACACGGGGAAACUUAUGAGGUCCAGACAUAGUAAGGAUUUAUAGACUAAGAGCUCUUUAUUGAUUUUGUUGGUGAUGGUUCAUGGACGUUCUUAGUUAGUGGAGUGAUUUGUCCGGUUAAUUCCAUUAACAAAUGAUAUCUCAGCCUGCUAACUAGCCAUGCGAAGUUAUCCCUUCGCGGCCUGCUUCUCAGAGGGACUACGGACUUUUAGGCUAUGGAUGUUUGAGGCAAUAAAUGGUCUGUGAUGCCCUUAGAUGUUUUGGGCUGCACAUGCACUACACGAAUGUAUUCAACAAGUUUAUAGUCUUGGCCGAUAGGCUCGGUUAAUCUUUGAAAUUUCAUUGCGAUGGGGAUAGAUAACUGAAAUUAUUGGUCUUCAACGAGGAAUUCCUAGUAAGUGCGAAUCAUCAGCUCGCAUUAAAUACGUCCCUUCCCUUUGUGUACACCACCCAUUGCUCUUACCGAUUGAAUAAUUUGGUGAAAUAUUUAGAUCAGCACAAUGUUGGCGGUUCGCUUCCCUAACGUCGCGAGAAGUCCAUUGAACCCUGUCAUUUAGAGGAAGGAGAAGUCAUAACAAGGUUUCUAUAGGUAACCAAAAGAAGGAUCAUUG
rfam:Capsicum annuum cultivar Zunla-1 chromosome 2, whole genome shotgun sequence